UACGUAGGGACCAAGCGUUGUUCGGAUUUACUGGGCGUAAAGGGCGCGUAGGCGGCGCGGUAAGUCACUUGUGAAAUCUCUGAGCUUAACUCAGAACGGCCAAGUGAUACUGCAGUGCUAGAGUGUGGAAGGGGCAAUCGGAAUUCUUGGUGUAGCGGUGAAAUGCGUAGAUAUCAAGAGGAACACCUGAGGUGAAGACGGGUUGCUGGGCCA
rnacentral:rRNA from 1 species